rnacentral:rRNA from 1 species
UACGUAGGGUGCGAGCGUUGUCCGGAAUUACUGGGCGUAAAGAGCUCGUAGGUGGUUUGUCGCGUUGUUCGUGAAAACUCACAGCUUAACUGUGGGCGUGCGGGCGAUACGGGCAGACUUGAGUACUGCAGGGGAGACUGGAAUUCCAGGUGUAGCGGUGAAAUGCGUAGAUAUCUGGAGGAAUACCGGUGGCGAAGGCGGCGUUCUGGACUGCAACUGACACUGAGGAACGAAGCCAGGGGAGCAAACGGG